rnacentral:lncRNA from 10 species
CCCGACUCAAGCCCUGAGCUUGACGCCCUGCUGCCGGGCAGAGCAACAUUAAUGAGAAGAAAAAACAUCCUUCCUCAAAGUCAGGUAAUUUUUCACUUGGGUCUCUUUCCCCUUCCCAGAGAGAUGUGAGACUUGACAAGUUUGUAAGUAGGCUUUAAGUUGGAAAAACAGAGCACGGGAUGAUACUACACAAGGAAAAAACAUGGAGCCUGCCCAAAAUUAAAUGUUUCAAUGGGGAAUCCUAAUAAAACAUGUACCUUGAUGCAGUUCAUUAACCACUUAAUUUAUUAAAGUUUUACUCCCCUACAAAAGGUAUAAGAAGCCAAGGGAGUGAAAUAUUCGAUUAAUAGUACUGAUUAUUGUCUAUUUAAAAGAUAAGAAAUCCAAGCUAGCAAAAGCAUAGUUAUAAAUAAUAAUCAAAAUAAAUACUUGGUUCAUGAAAACGCCAAAAAGAGCUACUAAAGAGUCCUUCGCAUUCUAUUCUGACUUGGAUUUAAACUGUGUGUAACCCACACAUUUAAAGGAUGUGCAUCUCAAAUCCUGGAGGACUGCGGGAGAAAAUUUAAAUUUCAGAUUUAAAUGGCUGGCAAAAUUUUAAAACAAAUGUAAUGAAAACCCAAGUUUUCAUUCCUUCUAUUGCUUGGCACAUUUUCCCUGGAAAUCCCCAGACACAUUUUGUUCAGGAAACAAAGAACUCCAAGAUUGAGACAAUUCUUUGCUAACUCAAAAAAAAAAAAAAAAAAAAAAGCGAAAAUAGAUUUUCAGGAUGCCCCAUAAAUAAAUAAAUGAAUCUAAGCAGAAAACAGGUUGCAACUCGAGUAGUCCCUGCCUUCAAAACUGCUUGCAAAACAAAACUCCCUGGAGCGCAUUCAGGUUGCUCCUCCCAGGCCUAGGGCCACAACGCCUGGUAAAUAACGUCCCGGCGCUCAGGGCCUCUUUCCCAAAAGCCCGACGUGGGAACAACUAGCAGGGGGCGGGGAGGUGGGGCGGGCUGCAAAACGCGCACGGCUCACGUGGGCAUCUAGAGUCCAGCUCCCGAGACCCGGUCAAAGCAGGGACAGGAUCUCUUCCCCACCCACCCAAAUGACGCCCUCGGUCUGUUUCCGCUGGGAUCCGGAGAAGCUGACCCUCUCACCGGGGGGUCUUCCCGGGGCGCCUAGGCCAGGGCGGGCCCCCAGCGUCGUCCUCUCCCACCCCCCCACUCCCCUGCCCACACAUUCUGGAUCAAAGCAGACAUGCGGCCGGCGCUCUGCGAUCCAAGGCACACUGGGGUCUUUCAUCCGGUGUUUUUAAAAAGGAGGAAACAAAAGGCUCAGAGGCAGGGCCCCAGGUGCGCUCGCCCGCGGGGGCUGCGGCGCGGACGACCGAAGGUAACAGGCACGUCCCGGCCGAACUUCGAGACCCGGGCCCGGCAGCCGCCCCGGCGGGGAAGUUUCGUUUCCCGGACAGGGGAAGCCGAAGCGCCUCCUCGGGACAGGACCCCGCGCCGCCGGGACGCGCAGCCUUGAUACAAACGUCCUUGGGUGGCCGAGGAGUCCAGGAGUCGUUGCAGUCGUGGUCUCGGGGUUACUGGGGAUUGGGGGUGAGCCGGUAGAGACUGCGGAGCCCCGAGCACCACUCGGCCACCAGACAGGACCGGGGCCCCGCUCCUUUCCUCUUUUACUUUGAUUACGGUUGGAGAGGUUGGGUUUUGUGGUCGCAGCCCCACCUCGCCUGACCUCCCAUUCGCGGGCUGGGACAAAGGCGGCUGCAGCCGUGUCCAGCAGGCAGGGGACAGCCCCGCGCGGGCCCGACGCCCCCUCUGACCACCCGCCCGGGCUCGCGGGAGGGGAGAAAGAAAACCACGACUUCCUGGAAAAGUCUUCACCGUAAAUAUUAAUCUCUUUGGCAUGAAGAGGAAAACACUGCAGCUAAUUUUUCAUGGGAUAACAAAAAUAUAAACUGCAAUUUCUUUUAUUUUUUCCCUUUCGAUGGUCUUUUUAAACGAGGAGUAAAGAUUUCAACGCCAGGUCCAUUUUCCAAAUUUUGUACCAGAACCUUGAGGAUGCUUGUCUCUCGCGCGCUUCUCCGCAGACCGAACCCUCUCCGGAACUCAGAGCUGUUCACCCAAGUCAGCGGAGGAGGCCUCCUGGGACUUGAGCCUGAGGGUGGCGAAGAACCCUAGGCAGAGAUCAUCAACUUGGUACCGAUGAGUGACGCGGAGCUUGAACAUUCCAGCGACUUGCUCCAGGGCCACUCCCAGUUAAGAGGCUGAGUGUUAACUGCAAGAGGCUGAGUGUUAACUACGCCGUUGGCUCCAGGAACCGAACCGGGUUUGGAUACAGACCCAGUCACACCAUCCAUGAAAAGCUGUUUCUAUAAUAUGAAAAAUUGUUAAAUGACGCUUUAGUAAAAGCCAUUUAAAGAUCUUUUCUAAUAAAUUUUUCAUCUUUCCAAACAAUGCCGCUAAUUACCUUCUGAUACAGUGCGUUUCCAAAAUGUUUAUGAACUGAAAACAAAAAUAAAAAACUACAUUUUUAUGUUGUAAAGGGAGUGGGGGGGACUUUCUAAAAUUUGUCGUAUUAUAGCACUUCUCAUGACAACUUGACCCUUUAGGCAUAAUUUUUGACAAAAUGUCUUGUUCUUUUUCUUUUUACAGCUGAACGUCUUAAAUUCAAGGAGUAAACACAUAUAAUGAGAUAAAAGUUUAUCACUGUUAGCACAACCAAUAAUUUGCAUCGUAGUCUCAAUUUC